rnacentral:lncRNA from 1 species
ACUAUUUAGAUUCUACGUAGUGACAGAUCAUGGUAAGAACUUCAAACUUUAUUUAUUAAUUAAGUUAUUAAAGGAUCUAAUUUUUAUAUUAAAACUAAUAUAUUUCUGAACUGUGCAGAUGCAUUACACGGCAUACAAUUUUGAGAGGCACGGCGAUGACCCAUCUUUUCAGCCCCUCUUGACCUUGAGGGAUGGCUCAGCACCACC